rnacentral:rRNA from 1 species
UGGUUAAGUGAAUAAGGGCGUACGGUGAAUGCCUUGGCACUAGGAGCCGAUGAAGGACGGGACGAACACCGAUAUGCUUCGGGGAGCUGUAAGUAAGCUUUGAUCCGGAGAUUUCCGAAUGGGGGAACCUCAUUGUUUUUAUCGACAAUGGUCCACUCAGUGAACACAUAGCUGAGUGGAAGGUAGACGUGGUGAACUGAAACAUCUCAGUAGCCACAGGAAGAGAAAGAAAAAUCGAUUUCCCGAGUAGCGGCGAGCGAAACGGAAAGAGGCCAAACCAGCGUGCUUGCAUGCUGGGGUUGUAGGACUGAUGGACGGGAGUGAAUGAGCUAGUCGAACGCCAUGGAAAGGGCGAUCAGAGAGGGUGACAAUCCCGUAGGCGAAAGCUCAGCCACCUCAUUCAGUAUCCUGAGUACGGCGGUACACGUGAAAUUCCGUCGGAAUCCGCCAGGACCAUCUGGCAAGCCUAAAUACUCCCUAGUGACCGAUAGUGAACCAGUACCGUGAGGGAAAGGUGAAAAGCACCCCGGAAGGGGAGUGAAAGAGUACCUGAAACCGUAUGCCUACAAGCAGUCAGAGCCCGUUAAGGGGUGAUGGCGUACUUUUUGUAGAACGGACCGGCGAGUGACGAUAGCAAGCAAGGUUAAGCUGAAGAAGCGGAGCCACAGCGAAAGCGAGUCUGAAGAGGGCGUUGAGUUUGUUGUCGUCGACCCGAAACCAAGUGAUCUACUCAUGUCCAGGCUGAAGGUGUGGUAAAACACACUGGAGGGCCGAACCCACGUCUGUUGAAAAAGGCGGGGAUGAGGUGUGGGUAGCGGUGAAAUUCCAAUCGAACUUGGAGAUAGCUGGUUCUCUCCGAAAUAGCUUUAGGGCUAGCCUCGGAUGAUGACUAUUGGAGGUAGAGCACUGUUUGAUCGAGGGGUCCAUCCUGGAUUACCGACAUCUGAUAAACUCCGAAUGCCAAAUAGUUUAGUCCGGGAGUCAGACUGCGAGUGAUAAGAUCCGUAGUCGAAAGGGAAAGAGCCCAGACCACCAGCUAAGGUCCCAAAGUUUCAGUUAAGUGGAAAAGGAUGUGGGGUUGCUUAGACAACUAGGAUGUUGGCUUAGAAGCAGCCAUCAUUGAAAGAGUGCGUAAUAGCUCACUAGUCGAGUGACCCUGCGCCGAAAAUGUACCGGGGCUAAACUGAACACCGAAGCUGUGGAUCCAUAGGAUGGUAGGAGAGCGUUCUAUAGGCAGAGAAGCAUGAUCGUGAGGACAUGUGGAGCGUAUAGAAGUGAGAAUGCCGGUAUGAGUAGCGAAAGACGGGUGAGAAUCCCGUCCACCGAAUGACUAAGGUUUCCUGGGGAAGGCUCGUCCUCCCAGGGUUAGUCGGGACCUAAGCCGAGACCGAAAGGGAUAGGCGAUGGACAACAGGUUGAGAUUCCUGUACUUGUUUGAUUUGUUUGAGCGAUGGAAGGACACAGAAGGCUAAGCGGAGCGCGGAGAUGGAAAAACGCGUCCAAGCAAUAAGUGAGAAGGUGAGUGAAAGGCUUGCCUCAGACUUCAUGAGUUGUGACGGGGAGGGAAAUUUAGUACCGAAGCCGCCGACGUCACGCUGUCAAGAAAAGUUUCUAGUGAGAAUCAAACAACCCGUACCGCAAACCGACACAGGUAGUCGAGUGGAGAACACUAAGGUGAGCGAGCGAACUCUCGUUAAGGAACUCGGCAAAAUGACCCCGUAACUUCGGGAGAAGGGGUGCUGACCGCAAGGUCAGCCGCAGUGAAUAGGCCCAAGCGACUGUUUAUCAAAAACAUAGGUCUCUGCCAAAUCGAAAGAUGAUGUAUAGAGGCUGACGCCUGCCCGGUGCUGGAAGGUUAAGAGGAAGGGUUAGCGUAAGCGAAGCUCUGAAUUGAAGCCCCAGUAAACGGCGGCCGUAACUAUAACGGUCCUAAGGUAGCGAAAUUCCUUGUCAGGUAAGUUCUGACCCGCACGAAAGGCGUAACGAUUUGGGCACUGUCUCAACGAGAGGCUCGGUGAAAUUGUAGUACCAGUGAAGAUGCUGGUUACCCGCGACAGGACGGAAAGACCCCAUGGAGCUUUACUGUAGGUUGAUAUUGAAUGUUUGUGCCACAUGUACAGGAUAGGUAGGAGCCAUCGAAGUCGGGACGCUAGUCUCGAUGGAGGCACUGGUGGGAUACUACCCUUGUGGGAUGACCAUUCUAACCCGCGACCAUUAGCUGGUCGGGAGACAGUGUCAGUCAGGCAGUUUGACUGGGGCGGUCGCCUCCUAAAGUGUAACGGAGGCGCCCAAAGGUUCCCUCAGAAUGGUUGGAAAUCAUUCGCAGAGUGUAAAGGCAGAAGGGAGCUUGACUGCGAGACCUACAAGUCGAGCAGGGACGAAAGUCGGGCUUAGUGAUCCGGUGGUUCCGCAUGGAAGGGCCAUCGCUCAACGGAUAAAAGCUACCCUGGGGAUAACAGGCUUAUCUCCCCCAAGAGUUCACAUCGACGGGGAGGUUUGGCACCUCGAUGUCGGCUCAUCGCAUCCUGGGGCUGAAGUCGGUCCCAAGGGUUGGGCUGUUCGCCCAUUAAAGCGGUACGCGAGCUGGGUUCAGAACGUCGUGAGACAGUUCGGUCCCUAUCCGUCGCGGGCGUUGGAAAUUUGAGAGGAGCUGUCCUUAGUACGAGAGGACCGGGAUGGACACACCGCUGGUGUACCAGUUGUUCCACCAGGAGCAUGGCUGGGUAGCUAUGUGUGGACGGGAUAAGCGCUGAAAGCAUCUAAGCGUGAAGCCCCCCUCAAGAUGAGAUUUCCCAUACUUUAAAAGUAGUAAGACCCCUGAAAGACGAUCAGGUUGAUAGGUUUGGAGUGGAAGCUUAGCAAUAAGUGGAGCGGACAAAUACUAAUCGGUCGAGGACUUAUCCAAA